GACGAACCGUACGAACGUUAUUCGGAAUUACUGGGCUUAAAGGGUGCGUAGGCGGCGCGGAAAGUUGGGUGUGAAAUCCCUUGGCUCAACCAAGGAACUGCGCUCAAAACUACCGUGCUUGAGGAAGACAGAGGUGAGUGGAACUUAGGGUGGAGCGGUGAAAUGUGUUGAUAUCCUAAGGAACACCGGUGGCGAAGGCGACUCACUGGGUCUUUUCUGACGCUGAGGCACGAAAGCUAGGGGAGCGAACGGG
rnacentral:rRNA from 1 species